CCCCGGUAUUUUGGUUUUUUAAAGACCUUAUCUGUUAGAGUGAGUGUAUGAUAUAUUAGAUCACAUGGAAUGUAUCACUUAUGAUUUAUGGGUGAAGUCAAUAUGCUUUGAAAUACUGCAGCAAAAAAAAAAAGCCAAAACAUAAUUAGAAAAAUGUUGAUUAUUGUUGAAGCCGUUGGUGGUGAAGGGCUUUAGAAUGUGCACCCUGAAACAUGCCUCUUUGGCAUAUGGAUUAUUUUGAGUUUAAAGGUGACCAAAUCCAGCAAAGGUAAGAAAAACUCUUUACCUCUUCUAAAGGAAAUUUACCUUUAUAAAGGAAAAUCACAUUAGUAAAAGUAUUUGUACCAAGAAGAGCACCACUCCCAGAGUGGUUUUCCCAGAGACAGCUUUUAUGAAACUUCCCUUCCUAUGUAUGGAAUUCAAACAGUCUUUUCCCUCCUGUUAAUUUCUCUUAUUUCAAUUUAAUUCUUAGGCCAGCCACAGAACUUAGAAAGACAGAAGGAAGUUUUUCUUCUCCUAGAGUGUAAAUGGAAUUUUUCUUAUAUUUUUCGAUCUGUUUUGCUUAAAAUUAUCCGUAAUUUUCCCCUAAGUGGAAGAAUGAUAAGAACAACUCUGCCAGGCAAAACUGAUAAGGAAAUCAGUUUGAAUAUGUUUUUGAAAAUAUGGGAGAAAAUAUCUAAAAUAAGAGUUGAUUAUGGUUACAUUUACAGAGCUGUAAUUGGUUGUGUCUCCAGUUGAAACUAGAGACAGGUGAGUUUUGUUUAAUGUAUUGUAGAAAUAGUCAAGGGCUUAAUUGAUGUUAAGGUAUCUAUUUUUAAUGGGCCCUUGUAUGAGAAUGUAAAUAUGUGGGAGGAAAUUCUGAAAGAUGCGUCCUAUACAGUUAACAGGGUCACCUUGGGAAAUGGUGUGAACAUUGGGACUGGUGGCCAAAGGUGACUUUCAUUAUUGGCUGAGCACCUGCUGUGUGCUAGACCCUGUUCUUCCGGCUGAAAUACAGCCAUGAAAGAGACAAAAAGGUCCCCGCUCACAGGGGUGGAAUUUGCCUGAAAGAGAAUGAAAAAAUGGGAUCAAUAUGACACAUAUAUACCACAACAGGUGGUGGUGGGUGCUACACAGCUCCCUAAAGCAGGGAAGCGGAAGGGGGUGUGCAGAGGGUGUGGGGAUCUGCACCUUCCUGAAGGUUCUGCAGCCAAGUCCUCACUGAGAAAGUGACAUAGAGACCUGAAGGAAGUGAAGGGGGAGCCUGGUGGAGAUCUGGGGGAUGCAAGUGGCAAUGAGAGGGACUAUCCCGGGCCUCUUACUCACGUGACUCUUAAAUGACUCAGCCACUGAGAAACUGUCAUUUUCCCUCCAGUCUUGAUGCAAGAGGUGCUGUGUAGUUGUAUCUUGGCAGUAGGAGAUUGGUGAGCUUGGGGCUAGAAUUACCUUGAUGGUUUACUUGAUCGGGACAUGGUUUAGGACCUUUGCCACUGAAUAAACUGAGGCUCUAGCCAUGCAUACUAAGCGUGUGUGCUUGUAUAAAGUGGAUCUUUUGGGAUACUUGUAUAAAUUGGUCCUUGCAUAGCAUCUUACUUAAGUGGCUCAGUCCCAUUUUGUAAGCUGUUUAUAGCUACUGGAGUGACAGUGCUGUACAAAACCCAAACUGUCGCAUGCCACCUAGUGUCAGGAUACUCAUCCCUCAUGGAAUCAAUAAGUUACAGAUGGGAGAACAUUUCCUUCUCCGUGGAUGUAGGGCUCACAGGUUAUUUAUUUCGUUAACCUCAGGGAUAGUAGUUUAAGCAAGUAGAAAGGCAGAUCGUUGUCCUUGACCACAGGGCUGGAUCCCAACAAGUUACUUUGCAAAGUCACUAAGAGGUCAGAGGUGACUACAUGACAGUGGGUUUGCAGUAUAAAGUCCAGGCCAUCUUUAGGCUCAGGCUGAUUUCUCCCGAGGGUGUGUAGUGGCUGGAAGGGUUUCUCUUGCAAAGCUAGAAAAAGACUGGCUUGUUUGUUUCAUGCUGAAUCUUUCCUUAGGGAAAUUGAUUUGUGUCCAUUGCAAAGGUAUUAAACACUGGUCUUUUCCUUUCAGGUCACACUUUUGUAAGAGACUUGAAGAGCGUGGUCUACGGCUUGUGCUGCGCCGCAGGGGUGUAGACCCAGAGUGCAAGCACAGGCGAAGAUCAGACACUCAUUUCACACUUCUGAUAGAAAAAUGAAGAAUUCAGAACCUGACUGUAAGCUCAAGACAAGAUGCAACAAAAGGAAUAAAAACUCAAAGAUCUUGGAAAAGAAUUCCAGCAACAUCAAACCAAGGAGCACGGACUUGCAGGUUGCUCAUAAAUUCCAGGACCUCUACCGCAUCCACAGGCAGGUGGAGGGCCGUCCCCAUCACCAGCUCUACCAGUGGCACCUCUACCGGCAGGAAUUGGUCCUUCUCCUCCUCCAACUCCUUUACCUCGACUAAGUGAUAUACCACAUCCACCACUAUCACCUUUGUUUGGGGACCUCCUACAAGGAUUACUUCCUGCUCUAACUUAAGAAAUAAAUGUAUAAACCUGAACUCCAUGUAUUGAUUCUUGAACUGCAUGACUUGAUUCUCCAUGAAGAGAAUCAAAUGGUCAAAGGCAAAAUUUUGACUAGAGGUUUUUGGCACCUUCUAGCCCCCAAUAGUCAUUAAUAUGCAAAUAACUGCAUAGCUGUGCACAAGUAUGGUAUAAUAUUACAGAAUACGACCGCUGACUCUUGCUUUCCUUUGUGAACUCACCAUCUUAUGUUUCUCUUUCAGUUCAGUAUCUCAGUAAUUGGAAACUCCAUAGACAAUAUCAAAUUUAUGUAGACGGCAAAGGAGAAUUAAAGUGGUGUAAAGAUAAUUGUGUUAGUUUCCUAAGGCUGCCAUAACGAUUCCCACAAGCUGGGUGGUUUAUAAAAAACAGAAAUUUCUCUCUCACAGUUGUGGAGGGCAGAAGUCCACAAUAACAGUGUAGGUAGUGCCACACUCCCUGAAGGCUCUAGGGGACAAUCUCUUUCUUGCCUUUUCCAGCUUCCAGCAUUUUUGGCAUUCCUUGGUUCAUGGAAUAUCUCUGUUCUGUCUUCACACUGCCUUCUCCCAGUGUCUGUGUAUAAACUUCCCUCUUCCAGGAGUGAAUACAUGUGGUUGCAUUUAUGACCCACCGAACUGACUAUUACAUGUUGAUCUUUUACUCUGCACCAUUAUUACAUUUGUUUAUUAGUGCUAGUAUCUUUUUGAGGAUUCUUUGGCAUACUAGAUGUAUUAGUAUCAUGUCAUCUGCAAAAAGAUUUUCCAAUUUGAAUGCCUUUUAUUUCAUGUUCUGGCCUAUCUGCUAUGGCUACAACUUCCAGUAAAAUCUUGAACUGAC